AACGAACGCUGGCGGCAUGCCUAACACAUGCAAGUUGAGCGAUAACCAAGAAGCUUGCUUUUUGGGGACAGCAGCGCACGGGUGAGUAACGCGUGGAUAACGUACCCUAGGGUUGAGGAUAACCCACCGAAAGGUGAGCUAAUACUGAAUGUGCUUCAAGGAGGUUCGCUUCUUUGAAGGAAAGCGGGGCAACCCGCGCCCAAGGAUCGGUCCGCGUUCCAUCAGCUUGUUGGUAAGGUAACGGCUUACCAAGGCUACGACGGAUAGCUGGUCUGAGAGGAUGAUCAGCCACACUGGGACUGAGACACGGCCCAG
rnacentral:rRNA from 1 species